rnacentral:rRNA from 1 species
UACGAAGGGGGCUAGCGUUGCUCGGAAUCACUGGGCGUAAAGCGCACGUAGGCGGCUUCUUAAGUCAGGGGUGAAAUCUGGAGCUCAACUCCAGAACUGCCUUUGAUACUGGGGAGCUUCGAGUCCGGGAGAGGUAAGUGGAACUGCGAGUGUAGAGGUGAAAUUCGUAGAUAUUCGCAAGAACACCAGUGGCGAAGGCGGCUCACUGGCCCGGUACUGACGCUGAGGUGCGAAAGCGUGGGGAGCAAACAGG